rnacentral:rRNA from 1 species
UACGUAGGGCGCAAGCGUUGUCCGGAAUUAUUGGGCGUAAAGAGCUCGUAGGCGGUUUGUCGCGUCUGCUGUGAAAACCUGAGGCUCAACCUCGGGCUUGCAGUGGGUACGGGCAGACUAGAGUGCGGUAGGGGUGACUGGAAUUCCUGGUGUAGCGGUGAAAUGCGCAGAUAUCAGGGAGGAACACCGGUGGGCGAAAGGCGGGGUCUCUGGGGCCGUAACUGACGCUGGAGGA